CACGUAGGGUGCGAGCGUUGUCCGGAAUUAUUGGGCGUAAAGAGCUCGUAGGCGGUUUGUCGCGUCUGCUGUGAAAACCUCAGGCUCAACCUGGGGCUUGCAGUGGGUACGGGCAGACUAGAGUGCGGUAGGGGUGACUGGAAUUCCUGGUGUAGCGGUGGAAUGCGCAGAUAUCAGGAGGAACACCAAUGGGCGAAAGGCAGAUCUCUGGGCCGUAACUGACGCUGGAGGAGCGAAGGCAUGGGGAGCGAACAGG
rnacentral:rRNA from 1 species